GGCGAACGGGUGAGUAACACGUGGGUGAUCUGCCUUGCACUUCGGGAUAAGCCUGGGAAACUGGGUCUAAUACCGGAUAGGACCAUGCUUUAGUGUGUGUGGUGGAAAGUUUUUCGGUGCAAGAUGAGCCCGCGGCCUAUCAGCUUGUUGGUGGGGUAAUGGCCUACCAAGGCGACGACGGGUAGCCGGCCUGAGAGGGUGUACGGCCGCAUUGGGACUGAGACACGGCCCAG
rnacentral:rRNA from 1 species